CCCCCCGCCCCGGCCCGUCUCCCUAGGGGAUUAGUUUGUCCGUAAAGAAAGAAGGAACAGCUCAUUCUGUUUCCUGCUGAGGUGGUGAAUUCUUUGCUUUCUCCACUCUUCCAGAAGGGACUGUAAGCAAGAUGGAUUUACUUUUCUUUAAAAAAAAAAAAAAAGAAAUUUCUGGCUGAUGACUCAGAGAGCAGGGCCUGCCGAGGCUGGUUGGGGGGAGAGUGGGGGGAAUCUGGGGGCUUUGUAAGGUGCAGCGGCCCUCUUCUCCGCCUGAAUGUGGGAGAAGGGAGACCUUGUCCUCACCCGUCAGCUUCUGUGGAAGUCGAAGGAAAACCAUUUUCCUGGUGAUGACUGUUUGAAUCCGGGUUCCCUGACGUUGAAUUGCAGCCCAACCGAUAUUGUAUGGCUUCUUCUCCAAGCCCAGACUCGUAGGUUUGUAAAGACUGUCCCCAAAUAGCUGAGCCAAAAGGCUCAAAGGAAUUCACGUUGCGCGGUGUGGCAGUUAAACACUACCUUGAUCACCCUUUCCUGUUUUCUUGAGGAGAGACCAGAGGGUAUAUAUAGUAUUUGUGAGAGUUCUCCCCUGCUCCCCGAGUGAAUCCACUCCCCGCCAGCUCUGGAAGACACCCCAGAAACACUUUGUUUUCUGUUGCGGUGUAUUCAGAAGCCUCUUUCUGAUUAAAGAUCCCUUUUGUUUGGCUGAGAGACCCUGCCCCGAGGUAGGUUCCUCUUUGUCUCUGGUUUCACCAGGGAUUUUCCCAUGUCCCUCCAAGGCCGCAGGGCUGGGCUGGCGGAGAGAACAGACUGAAAGGUAGGUGGCAGCUUCCCCCAUUGUGAGAGGGCGUUGAGUGGUCCCCAAAGGGUCCACUGGCUCACCUGCCCCUUUGGGGACCAUCUGGUCUCCUUCCUGAGGUGACAAGUAGGACUCUUCAGUCAGUGCAGGAGACUAAUGGUCCAGUCAGUGUGAUGGGGAGGGUCACUUUGAUAACGGUGUCACCUUCCCAGAUACCUGCUGAGCGCCGUUUCUGCCUGCCUGCCGGCAGGAUGCAGGAAGUUAGAAUCCUGAGGAGGUCACGUGAGGGGGACCGGGGUUGAUUUAGCAGCUGCUGGCGCUUCUGGAGACCUCAGGAAUGGAGGGGAGCCCGGACUGCGAUGCUUGGGAGAAUGCAUCCUGAGCGACGUCCUCGUUGUUGCAGUCAGCCCGCGCGGCUCGACUUCUUGGAGGACAUAAUGAAUUUGGAUGUGGAAACUCCGAUUCGUUUGAAGAAAUCUGUCCUGUUACUUUCUGGUCCUCCCAGGUUCUGACUUUACCAGGGGCAAAUAAAAAAAAAAAAAAAGGAGAAGAGGGAGACAAAUCCCAUCUGUGAACUUGUCUUCUUGGCGCCUUUCCCCCCAGCUGUCUUCCAAGUAUUAUUUUUACUGUCAAAAAAUUUUUUUAAAAAUGUGAAAUGUAAUGUUUUUACAGCAACAAUAUGAAAUAUAUUUUAUAAGGAAUAAAAUGGUACAUUGUCUGA